rnacentral:rRNA from 1 species
GUGCCAGCCGCCGCGGUAAUACCGGCAGCCCGAGUGAUGACCGAUCUUAUUGGGCCUAAAGCGUCCGUAGCUGGCUACGCAAGUCCGUCGGGAAAUCCACUCGCCCAACGAGUGGGCGUCCGACGGAAACUGCAUAGCUUGGGACCGGAAGGCUCGAAGGGUACGUGCAGGGUAGGAGUGAAAUCCCAUAAUCCCGCACGGACCACCGAUGGCGAAAGCACUUCGAGAAAACGGAUCCGACAGUGAGGGACGAAAGCCAGGGUCUCCAACCGGAUUAGAGACCCCGGUGUCC